rnacentral:lncRNA from 1 species
UUUCCUAAUGGCUUUGGUUUGAUAUUUAAUUCACUGUACAGAUGUUGAUCACUUUUCAACUUACAUGAUGUGAUUUAAGUGAUGGUACCAAAGAAAACAAAGCAAAAUGAUACAAAAAAUAGUUUUAUUUCAGCACAGCUUCCAUCUUAGGGUACAACGCUUUAAUGAAUAAUUAGCUACAAGUUUGAUAUCUUAUCAUGAGCAUAUGCAUAUAAAGCACUUUGCAUUUGUAUUGCAAAACAAGAACUUUGCAAUGUUUAGUUUCACAUCGUUAUACAGCAUUGCAGAAAAUGCUAGUAAUGCAAUUCUUUUUUAAGAAGCAAAAUCAGAUCAGAUUUCAAUUCUUCUCUAUCUCUGUACAAAUGACAUUAUGUGACCUCAGAAGGAAACAUAAUCAAAAUGCAUUUUGGCUGAAAAAAAGUCCAAGUUCUGAUCCUUUCCCCAACACUGGAGCUCAUUCUGAGAAUUUGAUCAAGCACUUAUAUUUAAACUUUAGAAAACAGCCAAGUCAUUAUCAUGAGAAAGUUCAAUCUGACAAUUUAGCUUGAGUGAGUUAUGAAUAGAUGUGUAAUGCUGUCAGUGCAAGUAAAUAUAUGAGGAGUGUCACUGGCAUUAGUAAAAAAUGGUGAGUAUAAAAACCUUUUGUUAACAAACCCAAACUGUAACUUCCCUAUAUGGAGACACAUAGUCUUAGGAAGGUAAGUAACUUGCAUUUUCUAUCCUCUCUUCUCUCAUCUUCUUCAUUAUCACAUAUUCUUUGUUGUUGUCCUAUCCUGUUUCUUCAUAUCCUUUCUCUCCUCCACCUGUGCCCUCUGCUUCCAGAAAGUAUUAAACCUCCUCUUUCAUCCCCUCGUUUUUCACUGCUUCAGGUUUCCCUUCUCCUGCUUCUGCUUCCUCUGAUUUCAGGGUGUGGUAUACCCCUUCUUUCAUUUCCCCUGUCUUCAGUGGUUGAUAGUCAGCCUCUUUCUUCUCUCUACCAGAUGCUUCUGGGUGAAGGGUGUCAUACUCAGCCUCCCUUUGGGCACCAGGUCCUAGCAUCUCAUAUUUGUCCUCACCUUUUUCUCGUGACCUCAACCCCACAUCCUCGUAAAGUGCUCCUAAAAAAAAAAAAAAAAAGAUGA